GAUGAACGCUGGCGGCGUGCCUAAUACAUGCAAGUCGAGCGAACAGACGAGGAGCUUGCUCCUCUGACGUUAGCGGCGGACGGGCGAGUAACACGUGGAUAACCUACCUAUAAGACUGGGAUAACUUCGGGAAACCGGAGCUAAUACCGGAUAAUAUAUUGAACCGCAUGGUUCAAUAGUGAAAGACGGUUUUGCUGUCACUUAUAGAUGGAUCCGCGCCGCAUUAGCUAGUUGGUAAGGUAACGGCUUACCAAGGCAACGAUGCGUAGCUGACCUGAGAGGGUGAUCGGCCACACUGGAACUGAGACACGGUCCAGACUCCUACGGGAGGCAGCAGUAGGGAAUCUUCCGCAAUGGGCGAAAGCCUGACGGAGCAACGCCGCGUGAGUGAUGAAGGUCUUCGGAUCGUAAAACUCUGUUAUUAGGGAAGAACAAAUGUGUAAGUAACUAUGCACGUCUUGACGGUACCUAAUCAGAAAGCCACGGCUAACUACGUG
rnacentral:rRNA from 1 species